UUCAAAUGGCACUUAGAGGCUUUUGCAUCUGAACUCUUCAUAUAUACCAAGUUGUAAAAUAGUCAAUCCAAUUCUUCCAAUUUUGCAGUACAUUUACAGAAAUAUUGGUCUUUUAUUUUAAAUUUGAGGACUUAUUACGACUUGUUUCCACAAAGGUGACCUCCGGAGGGCGCUGCCUUGAAAUGAGCCUGCUUUUAUUAUGAGUAUAGAAAAGGGGUUAGGAUUUGGGCACUGACUAAUUUUAAAUCCAUUUGCAUUAACAAAUACACCUCAUAUAAUGAAUCCCUUUAACUUUUUUUUACUUGUCCAGUUUCAGUUAGGCAUUGAGAGAACGCCAUGGCAGUGAUGAAAACGAUGAGUUCCCUCAGUCCAUGGCACUCAGCUGUGGUCUCUUGUGUCUUCACCACAGUUCUGACUGACUGGCCUGUCUUCUGAUGCUAUGGAAUGGGCCUGGUAUCUUGGUAACCAUAGGUCUCCACGAACAUCAGUGUUGCAUUGUGGGUAUCCAUCCAUCACGGAAUAUUCUCAUCACGGCUCAAAUUUCUGUAAGUACAAGUUAAACAAAAAAUGUAAUCUAAGCAUUUUUUCUCUCCAUAUUUUAGAAUUGAGUAGGUUCAUAAUACUAAUUAAUGCUAAUGAUCUUUUUUGUAAUACAAUUUUUUUUAAAUAUAUAUAUAUAUUAGAGUAAUGAUGCAUUCAAAAUGUAAAUACUGCCUACCAUUGUAUGUACUACAAUGUGUUCUCAAUAAAGAUAUUUUUACAUCA